rnacentral:rRNA from 1 species
CCUGGUAGCAUUAGCGCAGUAGAACCACCUGAAACCAUUCCGAACUCAGAAGUGAAAUGCUGUAGCGCCGAUGGUAGUGUGGGGUUUCCCCAUGUGAGAGUAGGGAACUGCCAGGC